UAUUAAUUUUCAAUUAUUGCCAAUAUUAUUAGUUCAAUGGAAAACACGUAUUACGAGAACAAACUGCACAAAUUAUUUGCAUAAUAUUCACUGUUUCGCGGUCGAAUGCGGUCACGCACGCGAUGAGGCACGGUUAUGAAGGCGUUUUGUUGAGAACCUCUUGCUUAUCUCAGAUCAGUAGAUUGAUUAUUUUAGAUGAAAUUCCUGCCUGCGUUAUAUUUUACAUCAGUAAUUAAUGAUUUCCUCUUUAAGUUUGGAAUCUUGAUAAAAAGUCAUUCCUCUUGGAUAAAUAAGAGCACAGUGAACACCAACAAUGUAUUGCAGCACAAGUUUAUGGAUGCGCUCAUUGCGCUUGGACUUUAAUCGGUCACUUCAGAAUAUUGUCACUCAAUUUUCUCAACUAUUGAACAUUUGAAUGUAAUCAAUUCGUCUCAUCGUCAAAUAUCAUAUACUACUCGCUCUUACGCCUGGCUGCGUCUGUUCCUCUCAGAAAACAAUUUAAGAAUAUAUAAUGUGAGGUUACCAAAUUUGUUAUUUUUAUGCGGACACUGGUUUUUUUUGGACACACCCGCGAAGAUUUUUGUGUGAUGAAUCCCUUGAUUUUUCAGAAAUCAGCAUUCAAAAGUGACUCACGGGUUAACUCCGGACAUAGGUUCCACUGAAUAUCACUUACAACUAAUCCGUGCUGAAACGUCAAUUACUGCGUGAAAUUUGAGUAAAUAAUUCGGCGGAGGGUAACCGUUCCAGCCAGUAUACAUUACUAUCCUUACAUCGGCAGCAAACAUGAUGGCUAGAUAUGCGAAUAAUACCAAAAACACAAAUAAAAAUUUAUCGAGAAAAAAAGUCCGCUUCGACGAGCAGAAGAAUGUUAGAGUUGAAGUCGAAUCACACUCUCGAUCCACCUAUCUGGAGUAUGACGUUACCGGCGCCUACAAGAAGCUUUCCAUGGAAGAUUUUCCGUGCAUCUGUAACCGCAAAAAAUCGGGGGUUUAUUGUGGCUACUGUAAAUCUUUUACACCGGAUGUUGGUAUAAGGCAAACAUGCCCUCAACACCCUCUCACUCUCAAGCUUAUGGAUUUGGUGGAGUGUCCCAAGUGCUCUAGAGAUACGGACCUUCAAGAACUCCCUGCCGAGGAGAAUGCGUGAGUAGUAUACAAAUGGGCACUCUGACGACUUUGCAACCUGGGGUCAACGACCGCACCCGCAAAGCUCAAAAACAUUAUCCAGACACCGAUUUGAAACAUUUUUUUUCGAAAAUCGGAUUUUUACAUAGCAUACAUCUUUUUUUUUCAUCACUACCUACAUUUCUAUGUGAAUCUAUUUUUGAAGUCAAAAUGUCGAUUUAUCAAAGGCUUGCAUUGAUGAAUCAAAAUUUCUUAGGAUAUACACACAAAAAAAAAUCGCUUUUCCGGACAAAGUAUCGCAAGAAACGAUAUUUUAAAUCGAUAUCUUAAUUUUUUAACCACAAAAAUCGAUUCCUUGACUCAAAUUAUCUAUUAAAACACAUAGGGUACGUGUCAA